UGGGGAAUCUUCCGCAAUGGGCGAAAGCCUGACGGAGCAACGCCGCGUGAGUGAUGACGGCCUUCGGGUUGUAAAGCUCUGUGAUCGGGGACGAACGGUCGGCAGACGAAUAAUCUGCUGAAUUGACGGUACCCGAAUAGCAAGCCACGGCUAACUACGUGCCAGCAGCCGCGGUAAUACGUAGGUGGCAAACGUUGUCCGGAAUUAUUGGGCGUAAAGCGCGCGCAGGCGGCUUCUUAAGUCCAUCUUAAAAGUGCGGGGCUUAACCCCGUGAUGGGAUGGAAACUGAGAGGCUGGAGUAUCGGAGAGGAAAGUGGAAUUCCUAGUGUAGCGGUGAAAUGCGUAGAGAUUAGGAAGAACACCGGUGGCGAAGGCGACUUUCUGG
rnacentral:rRNA from 1 species